CCUACGGGAGGCUGCAGUGAGGAAUAUUGGUCAAUGGACGGAAGUCUGAACCAGCCAAGCCGCGUGCAGGAAGACGGCUCUAUGAGUUGUAAACUGCUUUUGUACAAGGAUAAAACUGAAUACGUGUAUUCAGCUGAAAGUACUGUACGAAUAAGGAUCGGCUAACUCCGUGCCAGCAGCCGCGGUAAUACGGAGGAUCCAAGCGUUAUCCGGAUUUAUUGGGUUUAAAGGGUGCGUAGGCGGGUUGAUAAGUUAGAGGUGAAAUGUCCGAGCUUAACUCGGGACCUGCCUUUAAAACUGUUGAUCUAGAGAGUAGAUGCGGUAGGCGGAAUGUAUGGUGUAGCGGUGAAAUGCUUAGAGAUCAUACAGAACACCGAUUGCGAAGGCAGCUUACCAA
rnacentral:rRNA from 1 species